AUUGAACGCUGGCGGCAGGCCUAACACAUGCAAGUCGAGCGGAUGAAGGGAGCUUGCUCCUGGAUUCAGCGGCGGACGGGUGAGUAAUGCCUAGGAAUCUGCCUGGUAGUGGGGGAUAACGUCCGGAAACGGGCGCUAAUACCGCGUACGUCCUGAGGGAGAAAGUGGGGGAUCUUCGGACCUCACGCUAUCAGAUGAGCCUAGGUCGGAUUAGCUAGUUGGUGGGGUAAAGGCCUACCAAGGCGACGAUCCGUAACUGGUCUGAGAGGAUGAUCAGUCACACUGGAACUGAGACACGGUCCAGACUCCUACGGGAGGCAGCAGUGGGGAAUAUUGGAAAAUGGGCGAAAGCCUGAUCCAGCCAUGCCGCGUGUGUGAAGAAGGUCUUCGGAUUGUAAAGCACUUUAAGUUGGGAGGAAGGGCAGUAAGUUAAUACCUUGCUGUUUUGACGUUACCAACAGAAUAAGCACCGGCUAACUUCGUG
rnacentral:rRNA from 1 species